rnacentral:rRNA from 1 species
CGUAGGGUGCGAGCGUUAAUCGGAAUUACUGGGCGUAAAGGGUGCGCAGGCGGUUAUGAAAGACAGGCGUGGAAUCCCCGGGCUUAACCUGGGAACUGCGUUUGUGACUACAUGACUCGAGUACGGCAGAGGGGGGUGGAAUUCCACGUGUAGCAGUGAAAUGCGUAGAGAUGUGGAGGAACACCGAUGGCGAAGGCAGCCCCCUGGGCCAGUACUGACGCUCAUGCACGAAAGCGUGGGGAGCAAACAGGAUUAGAUACCCUGGUAGUCCACGCCCUAAACGAUGUCAACUAGUUGUUGGUAGGGUAAAACCUAUUAGUAACGUAGCUAACGCGUGAAGUUGACCGCCUGGGGAGUACGGCCGCAAGGUUA